AAUAGAAAUACAUUUAUUUAUGACAAACAAACACAGAUGACAAAAACAUGUUGACAAAUAUACAAUGUAUAACAUUUAGUGAAAAAUGCCAUAAAAGGGUCACAACUCAGCAUGUUGCUGGCAAAGCCAGCGCUGUUCUUCCGUUGUAACCCAGGCGUACGCCGUUCGACGACGAGGCGGUUAUGCUAUGAUUUACUAAACUAAUUAAAAACUAGAACUAUACCUAAAACAUAAAAUUGAAACUAAAACUAUUAUAUACAACUUCAACAUUGCGGCAAUUGCCGUAUCUGGAACAGGCCUGACAGCCAAGUGACAGCUGGCCGCCACGCCAUUGCCACGUCACACGGCACGACACCAGCACGGCCAUAUUUGUGCUAUGACACAGCUAUCCACGUGUACAUUUUGUGCAGAAAACUUAAAAACUUCUAGUCGUAAAAGCUUUAAACAAACCAAACUAUAUCACUAAAUUAAUUAUUUGGAAAAGACGAACAAAUUAAAAAAUAGUGCAGAAAUGGUUGGCUCAUGGGACAUAACUACAGGUUCCUUAAAGGCGGAGACAGAUUGUUCCAGCAUUUUGUUGCCAAAUAUCUGAAACUUCCGCGGAAUGCAGCCGAACAGUGACGGUGCGUUAACAACUGCAACCCACAUUGUCGAGCUACUCGCGUCUUACGGAAGGAAAGUUUCUCAAAGAGAUACGCAGGAGACCGCUGGUGUACUACCUCAAAAAGAAGACUUGCCAGAUGAAGCUUACGUCGGUGUAGCAUUUUAAGCAUGUUGCAUUUGUUUAAAAAUGGGGUUACAUGUGCCCUUAACGGAAUAUUGAAGCAAAAACGGGCACAAGCGUUCUGAACUCGUUGCACCAGUCGCUUUGUUUUAAGUACAAAAUAAACAAGAUCGGGCCGAGGAUCGAGCCUUGAGGCACCCCUCGUGCUAGUUUCAUGCUCUCUGAGAUGAGCGAUGAGCCAUCACUCAAGCUCAAUUUUACAUGCUGGCUACGAUUUGCAAGGUAACUAUCAAACCAUUUAAGUGCACCAGAAUCAAACCCGUAGUAGCUCAAUUUUGAUAACAAUAAUACCGUAUCUAUACAAUCGAAUGCCCGGGAAAAGUCUAGCAGCACUAAUAUAGUACACAUUCCUUGAUCCUGAGCACACAGUAUAUGAUCAGUGACAUCGAGCAAAGCAGUCAUGGUGCUCCUUCCCUUCCUAAAGCCCGACUGUACAUCCGGUAAAAUAUUGUUUUUCUCUAUAUAUUCUGUUAAUUGCAAGCACACAGCCUUCUCCAACACCUUAGACAGACAGGGCAAUAGACUUACUGGUCUAAGAUCUUUAAGCUGGGUAGGAUUUGUAAUCUUAGGGAGGGGUCGUACAACUGCUUGCUUCCAGGCGUCAGGAAAAGAAGAAGUUAGAAUAGAAGCAUUUAUCAAUUUUGUUAUUAUGUCCAAACUGUUAGGUAAUGUCAUCAUGAUCAUAUCUAGAUUUAUGCCAUCACAGCCCAUAGCAUUUGAUUUCAAGCCUUUAAUUAUUGUAAGAACCAUAUCGGGGCUGACUGGCUGCAGCUUAAAUACUGAAUAAUUAAAUCUGUCAAAUUCAAAAUAGGUCAACUGUGAAAUAGAUGUUUGUGCAGUACACGGCAGGUUUAGAAAAUGUAUAUUUAUUGCAUCAGGGUCAUUAAAGCAGGAUGGUAAAUCAGGGUCAUUUUUAGGGAUUAAUGUAGAUUUAAGAUUCUUCCAUAAAACCUUAGGGUUUUUUAUUUUAUUAUUAAUAUUAUAUUUAAAAUACGCUACUUUCUCAUUAUAUAGGGCUUUAUUUACUGUAGAUUUUAACUCUUUAUAGUACAUUUGCUUAGCACUUGUCUUGUUUUUAUGAUACUCUGCUGCUGCUCCAUCACGCAGUUUCAUCAUUAACUGGAUCGUGUCAGUGAUCCACGGUGGGCGGGGAGCCUUAAUUACAAUGGACUUGGUAGGUGCAUGUAAGUCAAAUAAUAUUUGUAGGUUUUUACUGAAAGCAUUUGCAAUUUCAUUUGCAUUCAUAAUGGGCAGCAAAUUCCAACACAUUUCUUGCAAAUCCUUUUCAUAAAAAUUAAGUUCUAUAUUUUUUAUGGGCCUAUAUGUGGUGGUGUAUGGCUUGGGCUUGUCACGCUUAAUGAAAAACUCGCAAGUUAUUAGACAAUGACCGUGUACAGAUCCAAGGUGCUCAAUGUUAAUGUUUCUAGCUUGUAGAUCUGUGCACACCACAUCAAGCAGUGUCUGGCUUGUGUCAGUGAAGUGUGUAGGCUCUGUUAUCAAUUGGUUCAGGCUGAAACUUGUUAAAAAGUUAUGAAAUAUUUGAAAUUUUGUGUCAGUAUGUACAAAUAAAUUAAUAUUAAAAUCUCCUAAUAAAAUAAUAUUAUCAUAAUUGUGUAAAAAACUAAUUGUGUCGGAAAUGGCAUCAAAAAAUAGGUCGGUAUUCAUCCAUGGAGGUCGAUACGCUGUCCCCACUACUAGCUUCUUUCCGUUAAGGGUCAAUGCAACCCACAUUUGUUCCACUAAGCUUUGUUUAGGGUCAACUGGGUGAGAUAAAGUGCGAGCACUGACUCCUCGUUUGAUAUAGAAACCCACGCCUCCGCCACGAGAACGAGUCCCUGGCGGGCGCGGUUUGUGCCUCAGCUUGUAGUCAGGUAUUACUGGUGCUCGCCCUUCUUCACCCUCUCUCAGCCACGUCUCAUUUAUAGCUAAAAUAUCAAAGUCUUGUCGGAUACAUGCUGAAACAAUAUUAUCAUGGUUUGUGCCUAGAGAACCUGCGUUAAAUAAACCUAUUUUUAAGCGUUUCUUAGUGUGUGUGAUAUCUAAAUUCAUUUUUCUGACAUUUAACAACCAUACUUGUAUGAUAAGCUUUGCAUGAACAGCCGACACAGGAAAAUUUAUGACAAUGAAUAUAAAGGCUAAUAAAAUAAAUAUACUGCAUUUGUAGCGAUACAUCGAUAAGUGAUACUUGGCUAAGAUAUACAUGUACCACAAACUUAUAUAUAAUACACAUAGUUAUUAAAAUUAAGAAACACAUAGCCGCAACUUUUAUUGAGUCAUAGUACAACAAACCCAAUUCUACCCAAAAACCUUUCCUAUA